rnacentral:rRNA from 1 species
GGGCCCUCUGGGUCCAACCUCCCACCCGUGUCUAUCGUACCUUGUUGCUUCGGCGGGCCCGCCGUUUCGACGGCCGCCGGGGAGGCCUUGCGCCCCCGGGCCCGCGCCCGCCGAAGACCCCAACAUGAACGCUGUUCUGAAAGUAUGCAGUCUGAGUUGAUUAUCGUAAUCAGUUAAAACUUUCAACAACGGAUCUCUUGGUUCCGGCAUCGAUGAAGAACGCAGCGAAAUGCGAUAAGUAAUGUGAAUUGCAGAAUUCAGUGAAUCAUCGAGUCUUUGAACGCACAUUGCGCCCCCUGGUAUUCCGGGGGGCAUGCCUGUCCGAGCGUCAUUGCUGCCCUCAAGCACGGCUUGUGUGUUGGGCCCCCGUCCCCCUCUCCCGGGGGACGGGCCCGAAAGGCAGCGGCGGCACCGCGUCCGGUCCUCGAGCGUAUGGGGCUUUGUCACCUGCUCUGUAGGCCCGGCCGGCGCCAGCCGACACCCAACUUUAUUUUUCUAAGGUUGACCUCGGAUCAGGUAGGGAUACCCGCUGAAC